AGCGAACGCUGGCGGCAGGCUUAACACAUGCAAGUCGAGCGGGCACUUUCGGGUGUCAGCGGCGGAUGGGUGAGUAACGCGUGGGAACGUGCCCUCUGGUUCGGAAUAACUCAGGGAAACUUGAGCUAAUACCGGAUACGCCCUUUUGGGGAAAGGCUUGCUGCCGGAGGAUCGGCCCGCGUCUGAUUAGCUAGUUGGUGAGGUAACGGCUCACCAAGGCGACGAUCAGUAGCUGGUCUGAGAGGAUGAUCAGCCACACUGGGACUGAGACACGGCCCAGACUCCUACGGGAGGCAGCAGUGGGGAAUAUUGGACAAUGGGCGCAAGCCUGAUCCAGCCAGGCCGCGUGAGUGAUGAAGGCCUUAGGGUUGUAAAGCUCUUUUAUCCGGGACGAUAAUGACGGUACCGGAGGAAUAAGCCCCGGCUAACUUCGUG
rnacentral:rRNA from 1 species